AUUGAACGCUGGCGGCAGCCCUAACACAUGCAAGUCGAGCGGAUGAAGGGAGCUUGCUCCUGGAUUCAGCGGCGGACGGGUGAGUAAUGCCUAGGAAUCUGCCUGGUAGUGGGGGAUAACGUCCGGAAACGGGCGCUAAUACCGCAUACGUCCUGAGGGAGAAAGUGGGGGAUCUUCGGACCUCACGCUAUCAGAUGAGCCUAGGUCGGAUUAGCUAGUUGGUGGGGUAAAGGCCUACCAAGGCGACGAUCCGUAACUGGUCUGAGAGGAUGAUCAGUCACACUGGAACUGAGACACGGUCCAGACUCCUACGGGAGGCAGCAGUGGGGAAUAGUGGACAAUGGGCGAAAGCCUGAUCCAGCCAUGCCGCGUGUGUGAAGAAGGUCUUCGGAUUGUAAAGCACUUUAAGUUGGGAGGAAGGGCAGUAAGUUAAUACCUUGCUGUUUUGACGUUACCAACAGAAUAAGCACCGGCUAACUUCG
rnacentral:rRNA from 1 species